AUACUUACCUGGCGCGGGGGAUACCGUGAUCAAGAAGGCGGUGCCUCCAGGACGAGCGCCUGUACAUUGCACUCCGUAUG
rnacentral:snRNA from 14 species